UUGAAUCCCGCAGCCCGACUUGAACGGAAAUCCUUUUUUGCUAUGGGAAAAGCCUGGGCAAAAAAGAUUGGGAGUGGAAGGCGGAAAUAGCU
rnacentral:sRNA from 1 species